GAAGGGGUACCACCCCCACGUAUCCCGAUCCCUUAGACCCACCCCCGAAACGGCACGUUCACACUCGAGGCCUGCCCCCUCCAGGACGCCACAUUCGCCCCCAUUCCCGGCUUGGGAGAGACAUCACCCCCGGACGACGGCGGCGCCCCCGCUAAUGCGCGCCCCCCGCCGCGCUGCCCUCCCAGCGAGAGGCCGCAGGACCAACCAGGUUCAAAGUGAUUCUGGAAAACCUCGCCCCCGAAGAAGCUGCAGAACGACAUGGCGCCACCGGAACCGCAGCGCGCUUGCCGCUGCCAACUGACCAAAGGCUGCCGACCCGACGACCGCCGGUACCCGCGUCCACCUCCCCGCCCCUCCCGAGGACCAAUCGCUCCCCGGAGGGCGAAUCCCGGCUUCCGCCUCCGGGAGGCCCCGCCCCUCCUCAGGGCUGGUCCAAUACGAUCUUCCCAGCUGGCCCCGCCCACGUUGACUCCUUGGGACCACUCCUGGGCCACUUCCCCAAGGCCCCGCCCCCCGGUGCCAGUCCAAUCGCAUCUCCCCAGCAGGCCCCGCCCAUGGAAACUCCCAGGGACCACCCCUAGGCCGCUUCCCCAAGGCCCCGCCCCUGCCGCCCCUCGCGCCCUGGUGGCUAGGGGCGCACAUGGGGCCUGGCCAGGUGGGCGACGGCGCGAAUCCGUAGGGUCGUGUCCCCCCAGUCCAGUCCCUGGUACUAAGCCCGGAGCUGCCGGAGGUCAUGCAGCCUUUCCGCGCCCAGGUGAAACCGCCUUUGCAAAAUGAUGACUGAAACAGUGAAAGAGAUCUAACUCAGCCGACUCUAUCUUGCUUCUAACCUCCAAGCUGUCCUUAUUCAUCCCUGCUGGUAGGUUGAAAUAACUUUGGGAGAAACUCAGUUUAUAGUUUUUUGUUUUUUUCUUUCUUUCUUUCUUUCUUUUGAGACGGAGUCUUACUCUGUUUCCAGGCUGGAGUGCAGUAGCGCGAUCUCAGCUCACUGCAACCUCCAACUCGCUGGUUCAAGCAAUUCUCCUGCCUCAGCCUCCCGAGUAGAUGGGAUUACAAUCAUGCGCCACCACGCCCAGCUAAUUUUGUAUUUUUAAUAGAGACGAGGUUUCUCGAUGUUGGCCAGGCUGGUCUUGAACUCCCGACCUCAGGUGAUCCGCCCAUCUUGGCCUCCCAAAGUGCUGGGAUUACAGGCGUGAGCCACCGCGCCCAGCCAGUUUAUAGUUUAAAACAAAGACAGUAACAGCCCUUUCCCAAAGCAGACCACCUCCUUGCCUGGGGACUAGAUUGCAUUUUUAGGACUAACAUUAGCCACAAUAUUGGGAAUUAUGGUUUAGGAGUCGUGCAUCUGGAGGCUACAAGAUUCUGACCCUCCCUAAGCUGCCCCUAAGAUCAGUGCUUGAGAUAUUUUGCCGACCCUGCAACUUGAUGGAUCUGCUGGCACCAACCAGAUUGAUAAACUGGCUCAUCUGAUCUUGUGGCCACCACCCAGGAGCUGACUCAGCGCAAGAAGACAGCUGACUCCCUGUGAUUUCCUCCCUGACCAAUCGGCUCUCCUGGCUCACUGGCUCUCCCCACCCGCCAAGUUAUCCUUAAAAACUCUGCUCCCCGGCACUCCAGCAGCCUGGGCGACAAGAUCAAGACUCUCUCAAAAAAAAAAAAAAAAAAAACCUCUGCUCCGCAAAUGCUCAAAGAGAUCGAUUUGAGUAAUAAUAAAACAUAAAACUCCGGUCUCCCGCA